rnacentral:rRNA from 1 species
AGAGUUUGAUCCUGGCUCAGAGCGAACGCUGGCGGCAGGCUUAACACAUGCAAGUCGAGCGGGCGUAGCAAUACGUCAGCGGCAGACGGGUGAGUAACGCGUGGGAACGUACCUUUUGGUUCGGAACAACACAGGGAAACUUGUGCUAAUACCGGAUAAGCCCUUACGGGGAAAGAUUUAUCGCCGAAAGAUCGGCCCGCGUCUGAUUAGCUAGUUGGUAGGGUAAUGGCCUACCAAGGCGACGAUCAGUAGCUGGUCUGAGAGGAUGAUCAGCCACAUUGGGACUGAGACACGGCCCAAACUCCUACGGGAGGCAGCAGUGGGAAUAUUGGACAAUGGGGCAACCCUGAUCCAGCCAUGCCGCGUGAGUGAUGAAGGCCCUAGGGUUGUAAAGCUCUUUUGUGCGGGAAGAUAAUGACGGUACCGCAAGAAUAAGCCCCGGCUAACUUCAUG